UCCCUUGUAGCUCAGUUGGUAAAGAAUCUGCCUGCAGUGCAGGAGACCUAGGUUCGAUCCCUGGGUUGGGAA
rnacentral:tRNA from 1 species